UCACCCCUCGGGCCCCGUGCUCGGUGUUGGACGGCCGGUUCGGGCGACCGAACCCCUCCUAAAGACAAUGACGGCGGCCUGUGGUUCCCCCGGUACACUGAGCCUUUGGCACGUGCCGGACGAGGGCGCCCAGGACCCGGUCCUCUCCUCUCAGCAGGAAACUUCUCAA
rnacentral:misc_RNA from 1 species